rnacentral:rRNA from 1 species
CCCAGACUCCUACGGGAGGCAGCAGUGAGGGAUAUUGCACAAUGGGGGGAACCCUGAUGCAGCGACGCCGCGUGGGUGAAGGAGCGUUUCGGCGCGUAAAGCCCUAUCGGCAGGGAAGAAGGAGGACGGUACCUGACUAAGAAGCCCCGGCUAACUACGUGCCAGCAGCCGCGGUAAUACGUAGGGGGCAAGCGUUAUCCGGAUUUACUGGGUGUAAAGGGGGCGCAGACGGCAGCGCAAGCCAGGAGUGAAAGCCCGGGGCCCAACCCCGGGACUGCUCUUGGAACUGCGCGGCUGGAGUGCAGGAGGGGCAGGCGGAAUUCCUGGUGUAGCGGUGAAAUGCGUAGAUAUCAGGAGGAACACCGGUGGCGAAGGCGGCCUGCUGGACUGCGACUGACGUUGAGGCCCGAAAGCGUGGGGAGCAAACAGGAUUAGAUACCCGCGUA